GUCGAGAAUAAUUCACAAUGGACGAAAGUCUGAUGGUGCAACGCCGCGUGGAGGAUGACGGUCUUCGGAUUGUAAACUCCUGUCAUCCGGGAGUAAGACCUGGCUGUGAAUAGCAGACAGGGUUGAUAGUACCGGAAGAGGAAGGGACGGCUAACUUCGUGCCAGCAGCCGCGGUAAUACGAAGGUCCCGAGCGUUGUUCGGAAUCACUGGGCGUAAAGGGAGCGUAGGCGGCGUGGUAAGUCAGAUGUGAAAUCCCGGGGCUCAACCCCGGAACUGCAUCCGAUACUGCCGUGCUAGAGGAUUGGAGAGGUAGCUGGAAUUCUUGGUGUAGCAGUGAAAUGCGUGGAGAUCAAGAGGAACACUCGUGGCGAAAGCGAGCUACUGGACAAUAUCUGACGCUGAGGCUCGAAGGCCAGGGUAGCGAAAGGGAUUAGAAACCCUGGUAGUCC
rnacentral:rRNA from 1 species